rnacentral:rRNA from 1 species
AUGCCUCACCCUCCUCCACGUCAAGAGAAACAACAAGAGGAUCAAGUGCUUGAAGAUCCUCCUCCUCAACAAGAGCGACAUCAACAUCGUCACUAUGAUGAAGAACUCCGCUACGACAAGCUCAAGUUCACCAUGCCCAAGUUCUCUGGAAGAAAUAACCCCGAGGAGCAUCUCGCAUGGGCCUUGAAAGUGGACAAGAUAUUACGUCUACACAACUACGACGAGGAAAAGAAGAUCGCCGUGACACCCCUCGAGUUUCAAGACUAUGUCCUCAUUUGGUGGGAGCACGUGAUCGAGCGACGCCGUGAAAAGGACGAGCCACCCAUCAUGACUUGGACACAAAUGAAGGACGUCAUGCGAGCCCGCUUUGUGCCUACAUACUACACAUGA